rnacentral:rRNA from 1 species
UACGUAGGGAGCAAGCGUUGUCCGGAAUCAUUGGGCGUAAAGCGCGCGUAGGCGGCCCCGUAAGUCCGCUGUGAAAGUCAAAGGCUCAACCUUUGAAAGCCGGUGGAUACUGUGGGGCUAGAGUCCGGAAGAGGCGAGUGGAAUUCCUGGUGUAGCGGUGGAAUGCGCAGAUAUCGGGAGGAACACCAGUGGCGAAGGCGACUUCCUGGCCUGUUCUUGACGCUGAGGCGCGAAAGCUAGGGUAGCAAACGGG